rnacentral:lncRNA from 1 species
ACUCUGCGCGCCCUCGGCUGCGGGGUAGCGGGCAGCCCUGCGCUGCCGGCCGCCUAGCCUGCACCCCCCGCCCUGGGAGGGAAGCCUCGCUCCAGCCGCGUCGUUUCCGCGCCGAAGUGCGAUCCGGGGCCCCGCGCUGGAGUCCCCUGCUCUCAGGCUGGUCUGGAAGGUGGUGGUGGGGUUCAGGGUCCCCGGAAAGCUGGGGUUCCAGGGUAAACACCAGUACACAAACAAAGCGGUGGGGGAGGGGAAAGAAAAAGUUUUUCCGUUUGGUGUUGGGGCUAAAAGGGUCAUGUCAGAAAGCAGUGUGCUCUAUGUGUUCUUAAUGCCUAAAGUGGGCCUUAAAACAAGGGUCCCUGUCCCCACGUUCUCUCUAAAAGUCUGCAUGAUGUCCCUCGUCAUUUCUACGGGUUAUAAGUGAGCAAGACGUUUACCACGUAUCACACUUCUGGGGGCUAUUUCAACGCCCAAGCUGGGGCUGCAGAAUGGUUUCUGUUCUAAUCCUCCCCCGCGAUUUCCACCUCUUUACACUCAACUCACAGAAAAUAGAGUCUGAUGCAUUCUGUGUUUCAUCACCGGUCAAAAGUGACUUUGAGGGUAGGGUGGAGGCCUGAGAAGGGCAGCUUCAGGCAAUAGUAAUCCUGAAAUUUAUCAUUGCUCAAAAUAAAUGUGCUCACCUUAUUAAAAAGUACAACGGAAAGCCACCUUUAAGAUAAGUAGCAACCAAGUCGUUAAACAGCAGUCUUCAAGGAAGAACUCCUGAUCUCAUAAGGCUGGAGAAAAAACGGGGUUAGCCUUUGCUGGUGAAAAAAAAAAAAAAAGACAUUCGAAACUGCAGUGAAGGGCUUUCAUAACAGAAACAUUAGCUUCAUUGUAGCUUGUCGUGGAAAACAGGGACCUUUUAAUAGGUGGUUCAAAAGCAUCAGUUAGGGCUCAACAAUUUUCCUUUUUUCCCCAAAUACUGCUUCUCCUAGCACAUUGGCCAGAUAAAACCUCCCCCCUUUCAAUGCUUCAUCUUUUUAUGAAAACACAGGAAACCAUAAACUUGAGUGAAGGCUUUGUUCAGAAAGGUGGAUGUAAGACUGAUGGAAAAUGACAUUUGGGAAAUGAUCCCCAGGUCUGUGUUAAUCUCUCAUGGAAAGCCACAGACUCACCCAAAGAUAGGCGUAUGAAGAUCGAAGCUCUCCUAGCAACAUGAAAUCCUCCACGUUGCAGCUGCUACGCCCUAGUUCUGAUUUUUACUAAGACAUUAAUGGCACAUUAUAAAUACAAAAUGUGCAAUGCAAGAAAAAUAAUACUGCUUUGAGAAAUAACUGCAUCAUUAGACUCAAUAAUUAAAGUUCCCUGAAAUUCUUCUUACAUCACGCUAUUGUGGGGAGAUGGUGAAGGGAUUGCCCAUUUCAAUUUUGGAAUAAAUAGAAGUAAUUCCUUAGUGCAUUCUGCUUAAGGCAACCAAUGAGAGAAUAUGUUAGCCAGGCUUCUAAAGGCAAUCAUGUGAUACUCCAUAUUUGCUAAAACAAGAGCUGAAUAUUUUUUUUGUUCCAUAUGCAAUUCCAAAUUUUCAGUCACAAUUUCAUGAAUAUUCAGUAUUUCUGCAUGCCCAGGAGUAAUUAGCAGACAGUGUAAAUGUGUGAAGGCCUGACACUUACACAUACAUUGCUUUUUUCUCUAUGUAAGGUGGCAGUUGCUGGAGUACCAGGGCACCAAGUGGAGGAUGUGGUAGACAGCCUCUAAGAUGCGCCCCCUGCCAAUGAUCUCUGCCUCCAGGGACAGGGUCUCGCCAUGUUGCCCAGGCUGGUCUUGAACUCCUGGCCUCAAGCAAUCUGCCUGCCUUGGCCUCUCAAAGUGCUGGGAUUACAGGCAUGAGCCACCGCACCCAGCCUGGAUUUAAACUCUUGGGAGGAGCUAGAAGGCAGAGAGAAAGCCACUCAGGACUUCCCAUCCCAGAAGAUAAAGGUGAGGAAAGCAGCAGCAGCAGCCACAGGCCAGUAUUCCAGAGCAGCUUUGGGUUCCUGUCAAGACCUGCUUUGAGAAGGAGGUGGCUGUGGGGCUGGAGGGCUGGGCCUGUUCCUGAGCUGGCUGCUGGCAGCACAGCAAUGAGGCAACAUUGAGAACUGCGACACGAGGCCCAGUCCUGCUACUAAACCAACUGUGUGGACUUGCAUAGUCACUUCACCCCUCGGGCCUCCAUUUCUCCACUUUGGAAAGCAGUGUUGGGACGAUGUUAAGGGUUUGCAACCUUCCAACAUGAAGACUUAUUUUUAAAAGCAAAACAUUUCAAAGAGUCCACAUGACAGUAGUGUUCAUUUUGGCAUCUGUUGAUUUAACAAAUACAAAAUUAGGCUGGGUGUAGUUGCUAACGCCUGUAAUUCCAGCACUUUGGGAGACCGAGGCAGGAGGAUCACCUGAAAUCAGGAGUUCGAGACCAGCCUGGCCAACAUGGUGGAACUCCAUCACUACCAAAAAUACAAAAAUUAGCUGGGCUUGGUGGCACGUGCCUGUAAUCCCAGCUACUCGGGAGGCUGAGGCAGGAGAAUCAUUUGAACCCGGGAGGCAGAGGUUGCAGUGACCUGAGAUUGCACCACUGUACUCCAGCCUGGGCAACAGGGCAAGACUCCAUUAAAAAAAAAAAUACAAAAUUAGGCAUGGUGGUGUUCGUCUGUAGUCCCAUCUAUUUGAGAGGUUAAGGCGGGAGGAUCACUUGAGCUCAGGAGUUUGAGUUUGCAGUGAGCUGUGGUCUGCCUGUGAAUAGCUGCUGCAGUACAGCUUGGGCAACAUAGUGAGAUUCCAUCUCUAGUCUUUAAAAAAAGGAAAAAUACGGCCGGGCGCGGUGGCUCACACUUGUAAUCCUAGCACUUUGGGAGGUCGAGGAGAGAGGAUCACCUGAGGUCAGGAGUUCGAGACCAGCUUGGCCAACAUGGCGAAACCCAUCUCUACUAAAAAUACAAAAAUUAGCUGGGUGUGGUGGCGCACGCCUGUAAUCCUAGCUACUCAGGAGGCUGAGGCAGGAGAAUUGCUUGAACCAGGAGGGAGAGGUUGCAGUGAGCCAAGAUCGUACCACUGCGCUCCAGCUUGGGCAACAUAGAGAGAUCCCAUCUCUAUUUUUUUAAAAAGGAAAAAUACAAGGGAUACCAGAGCACUGGGCCAGUGCUUGUUAUAAAGUCCAUCAAUGGGCCAGGCACGGAGGCUCACACCUGUAAUCCCAACACUUUGGGAAGCCGAAGUGGGUGAAUCAUGAGGUCAGGAGUUCGAGAUCAGUCUGGCCAACAUGGUGAAACCCUGUCUCUACUAAAACUUGGUAGUUUUUUGUAAAAUUAGCUGGGCGUAGUUGUGGGCGCCUGUAAUCCCAGCUACUUGGGAGGCUGAGGCAGGAGAAUCCUUUGAACCCCGGAGGCAGAGGUUUCAGUGAGCCGAGAUCACGCCACUGCACUCCAGCCUGAGUGAAGAGCGAAACUCCGUUUCAAAAAAAUAAAAUAAAAUAAAAAAUAAAAAAAUAAAGUCCAUCAAUGAUGCCAAUAUUAUGGAACAAAAUUUAAAAGCAGGGUGAUGAGUAAUGUUUGUUACUUUUUGGCUACUCAGUUUUGGAGUCCCUUCCCAGGUUUGUGGAAGAUGCCAUCUUAGGAGUCUUCGUGGAAGCUGGAGCCUGUUGCUUAGCCGUCAACAUAGAGGCUGAAAAUGCCAGAUGCUUCUCAGCCUCCUUUAGCUGCAGGGUUUAGUCAUGUGAUCUGGGCUGGGCCCAUCAGGUGCCAUGGACUGAGGAGCCUGGACCAAGCCAGAGCCCAACACAGAACCUUUUCUGGUGGAAGUGGCCAUGGCUACUGCAGCCUUGUCUAGAUUCCAGGGCAACAGCAGCAGGGUCAUGGUUCAGACCCCAGCCAUGGUUGUGGCACAGCUGCCCAGGGCUCUGAGAACAGAGCAGGACUCUCUGGAUAGCUUGUGCACCACAGUUCUGGCCAUGCUCCUGGCUGCUGUCUGGCACCGUUUGUUCUCAUUCAUGCCCUGAACCUGGCUCUUCAGCCUUCCCAGAGACUCUGUGGGCUGCCCAGCAUCCUUCCCAAAAAUCCCUCUUCUGUUUUAAAUUAUCCAGAGCCAGUUUCUGUUGCAUUUUUAAGUCAGAGUUCUGACCAAUUCACAGUCUUAUUUCAGUCUCCGCAUCCAACUUAUUUUUGUAUUUUGCUUUGGUACACACGGUUCUGAGAAAAUUCUAAUCAUACAGAUGGAUGGUUAUAAAUAAUAAUGAUAACAACUAUUACUGGCUGGGCACGGUGCCUCCUGCCUGUCAUCCCAGCACUUUGGGAGGCUAGGGCAGGAGGAUCACUUGAACCCAGGAGUUCAAGACCAGCCUGUGCAACAUAGUGAGACCCCAUCCCUACAAAAAAAAUUUAAAAAAUAGCCAGGCAUGGUGGUGCGGGUCUGUAGUUCCAGCUACUUGGGAGACUGAGGUGGGAGGAUUGCUUGAGCCCAGGAAGUUGAGACUGUAGUGAGCCAUGAUCGCACCACUGCACUCUAACCUGAGUGACAAAGCGAGACACAACAAUGACAGCCACAAAAAAACUAUUACAUAGCACUCACUAUAUGCCAGGCCCUGUCUUAACCA